rnacentral:rRNA from 1 species
AGAGUUUGAUCAUGGCUCAGGACGAACGCUGGCGGCGUGCCUAACACAUGCAAGUCGAACGGGGAUCAUGAAGCGGAAGUUUUCGGAUGGAAGGUUCAUGAUUCUAGUGGCGAACGGGUGAGUAACGCGUGAACAACCUGCCUUUCAGUGGGGGAUAACACCUGGAAACAAGUGCUAAUACCGCAUGAGACCACGACCUGGCAUCGGGAUGGGGUCAAAGAUUUAUCGCUGAAAGAGGGGUUCGCGUCCCA